CUCAAUGCAAUCAGAUGUGCCUGUAUUUCUAGUGAAAACUGCACCAGGGACCAUGAUACUGGUUCUUGUCAUAACCACAGAUCUGUAGAUCUGAAAACCCUUGGGGGGGGGGGAUCAUCCUCAUGUUUUAUGGACUCCCUGUGAAUUAGUUUAGAAAUUAUUUUUUUAACUAUGUGGGGUUUUAGUUUUCUUAAUAACCAUUGAAUUGAGUUGGGAGGAUAAGUGAGAUUCAGGUUGUCACUGCAGGCUUCUGAACCAGAUAAAGAAUUCUCCACAAGAUGACAGAUUUUAUAUGUACUUAUGUCUUGACUUUAGAUUGGGACUUUUGUUAAAUUCAAGCUAAGGCUUUAGGCUAUCCUCCUAAGAUUUAUUCAGCAUUGAGUCUCCAACGUUCAAUCUACUGAGUUUGGGGGGGGGUGUUUUCUGUCAGAACUAUAUGGUUGCCAAAAAGAACUGGCUGCAUAGGAUAAUUACGGAAAGGUUUUUAUCUAUUAUUUCAGUGGUUUUAAUUUGUUAACUUAGAGCUGAUUCAAAGGUCUGAUUUAUACCUCCUGAAUCCCAGCUGAGAAAAGUAAAUGUUAGUCUGGAGGGUAAGACGUACUUCUCACACCAGAAAGACCUUCAGAAGUCACAGAAGAGCUGUGAGGCUCUGAAAUUAUUUUUAAGUUCAUGUUUAAAUGAAGUAUUUUCCUAAGCCUAUGACCAGUCUGAGUAUUCAUGCUGCAGGAUCAUUUCUUCAUCUUUUUACUUCAUUAGCUUGCAGCGUUUCUUCUAGGGAAGUGUUUGCUGAGGAAAUAAGUGCAACUCCUGGAAUAAUUUCAUUGUUGUUAUUGCUGAGAACCUGUCUAUUCAAGCCCUAUUUUAAACUUCCUUCCAUCUGGAUGUGGUAGAUGGACUGAUCGGUGGAUAAGGAAUUGGCUGGGUGGUCACUAUCCAGAGGGUAGUGGUCAAUGUUCAAUGUCCAGAUGGAGAUUGCUGACAAGUGGUGUCCCUCAGGGAUUCAUACUAGGACCAGUGGUGUUUAAUAUCUUCAUCAAUGACAGACAGUGGAAUUGAGUGCACCCUCAGCAAGUCUGCAAACAACACCAAGCUAAGUGGUGUGGCUGAUGUGCCUGAGGGAUGGGAUGACAUCAAGAGCAACCUGGACAAGCUUGAGAAGUGAGCCAGUGUGAAUUUCAUAAGGUUCAACAACACCAGGUGCAAGGUCCUGCACAUGUGCUGGGGCAAUCCCAAGCACAAAUGCAAGCUGGCUGAUGACAGGAUUGAGAGCAGCCCUGAAGAAAAGGACAAGGCAGAAGGGCAGGAGGCAGCAUGUUCCAUGAAUUUCAGGAUUUGCAGGGAGGAAGAAAACUGAUCCUCAGUUGUACAUGACAGUGAUCUUUAACCUUUGGAAUUAAGGAAGCAGCUCGUUCCAUGAAUUGCUGGACUGGCAGGGAGGAAGAAAAUUGAUCCGUAAUCAUACAUGGGAAUGACCUUUAACCUAUGAAAUUAAGAUUCACCUGAGAUUUUCCCAGACUUAGGUGGAUCAACACCUACUGUAGCUCAUGUAUGAAUAUUUGCACAAACCUAUUUAAAUACAGUACCUGCAGAAAAUGCAUGGUAAGAGAAGAAAACUGUUUUCCACAAAAGAAACCCAAAGUAGUAUUGAUUUUAACAGUGCACAACACACUAUGAAAGAAAGAAAAAUGCUUUAAAAUACAACAAUCUGGAACAACUAUUAUCAGAGUUCCAUUCAACAGAAGGACAAACUAGGCAUCAGAUAAAUAAAGCAGAAUGACCUAAGUAUCGUCAAUAAAACACCUUCCCAAUCAGAGGGCUCCGUGCGACGUUGUGUUUGGGAGAUGAAGUUGUGCUUGGGAGAAUUCCUGUACUGCCUUACAAUUCAUGCCAGACAGCUGAUGAUAAGAGGCUGGCUGCAGCCCAGCACACAGACAGCCUCCACCUUCCCAUCGACCUGUCCUCACAGGCAGUGCUGUGAUAAUUCAUGCUCCUGGUCCCGGCGGUAAGAAGAAACUUCUCAGACCCGUGCCUCAGCUCCCCAAGGCUGUAGGGCUGUCAGGUUAUGUGUUCCUUCCUCUACCACUGAAAGCAGAGCCUCAUAUUGCUCCUGGUGACAUGCUGCCUCUAGGACGGUUUCCUUUAGUGUGAUAUGAAGGGACAGUAGAGCAAGGCAGGGGUAGAGAGUUGUAGAAGGACAUGGUGACAUCUCCAACACUGAGCAUGCAGGCACUGGCUGUAGUCCCAUCACCACUGGAAAAGCUCCUUUAGCUACUAUGG